GCGUUACUUAUGAGAUUUUAUUUUAUUCGUAUGCAAACAUUGAUUUUAUUUAAUCAAACCUUUUUUUCUUUCCACGGUCUUUAUUUAUAAUGACAAACACAUUGUACAAGUCGGAACAAACGCUUCUAACUAAUAAGACAGUACAUAUAAAGCCCAAAUAAAAGCCCAGUUACAGCUCAAGAACGUGUCAAACCAUUUGGGAUAAGCUAGGACACGUGUUGCUUCCAUAACCUUCACCGCAUGCAAGAGAUUUUAAAUCCGGUGUAUCGGAAUCAUCGCCGGAACAACUACUAACAAUGAAUCUUCUUUUUCCUCACCGAUGAUGACAAUAACGAGUUACAAGACCAAUCAAUCUUAUUUAAUCAAACCUAUCUUUAUAUAUAUGCAAUAAACAACCUAUGUAUAUUUUUUCUGCAUCAUUUUAAUUUUGGGAGAUUUUGAUAAUCCAGGUAGAGCAAAGCGGAUUAUGGAUUAUCACGUGAUAUCCGUGCGUAAUCAUCCCUACCUCUGCUAUGCUUUUGUAAAUAUUUUAAUAUUGAAAAUUAAUGUUGCG